GCAUAUCAAUAAGCGGAGGAAAAGAAACCAACAGGGAUUGCCUCAGUAACGGCGCAGUGAAGCGGCAACAGCUCAAAUUUGAAAUCUGGCCUCGGCCCGAGUUGUAAUUUGCAGAGGAUGCUUCUGGUGCGGCACCGACCGAGUCCCCUGGAACGGGGCGCCAUAGAGGGUGAGAGCCCCGUAUGGUUGGACGCCUAUCCUGUGUGAAGCUCCUUCGACGAGUCGAGUAGUUUGGGAAUGCUGCUCAAAAUGGGAGGUAAAUUUCUUCUAAAGCUAAAUAUUGGCCAGAGACCGAUAGCGCACAAGUAGAGUGAUCGAAAGAUGAAAAGCACUUUGAAAAGAGGGUUAAAUAGCACGUGAAAUUGUUGAAAGGGAAGCGCUUGUGACCAGACUUGCGCCUCGUCGAUCAUCCGGGGUUCUCCCCGGUGCACUCGGCGGGGCUCAGGCCAGCAUCGGUUUUCGCGGGGGGACAAAGGCCCCGGGAACGUAGCUCCUCCGGGAGUGUUAUAGCCCGGGGCGUAAUGCCCCUCGCGGGGACCGAGGACCGCGCUUCGGCAAGGAUGCUGGCGUAAUGGUCAUCAGCGACCCGUCUUGAAACACGGACCAAGGAGUCAAGGUUUUGCGCGAGUGUUUGGGUGUAAAACCCGCACGCGUAAUGAAAGUGAACGUAGGUGAGAGCUUCGGCGCAUCAUCGACCGAUCCUGAUGUAUUCGGAUGGAUUUGAGUAGGAGCGUUAAGCCUUGGACCCGAAAGAUGGUGAACUAUGCUUGGAUAGGGUGAAGCCAGAGGAAACUCUGGUGGAGGCUCGCAGCGGUUCUGACGUGCAAAUCGAUCGUCAAAUCUGAGCAUGGGGGCGAAAGACUAAUCGAAACCAUCUAGUAGCUGGUUACCGCCGAAG
rnacentral:rRNA from 1 species